rnacentral:rRNA from 1 species
GACGAACGCUGGCGGCGUGCUUAACACAUGCAAGUCGAACGAUGAACCCGGAGCUUGCUCCGGUGGAUUAGUGGCGAACGGGUGAGUAACACGUGAGUAACCUGCCCUUGACUCUGGGAUAACUGCGGGAAACUGUAGCUAAUACCGGAUACGACCCUCGGCGGCAUCGCCAGGGGGUGGAAAGAAUUUCGGUCAAGGAUGGACUCGCGGCCUAUCAGCUAGUUGGUGAGGUAACGGCUCACCAAGGCGACGACGGGUAGCCGGCCUGAGAGGGUGACCGGCCACACUGGGACUGAGACACGGCCCAGACUCCUACGGGAGGCAGCAGUGGGGAAUAUUGCACAAUGGGCGAAAGCCUGACGCAGCAACGCCGCGUGGAGGAUGAAGGCCUUCGGGUCGUAAACUCCUGUCAGGGGGGACGAAACGCCCGGCAACGGGCAUUGACUGUACCCUCUGAGGAAGCCACGGCUAACUCCGUGCCAGCAGCCGCGGUAA